rnacentral:rRNA from 1 species
UACGUAGGGCGCAAGCGUUGUCCGGAAUUAUUGGGCGUAAAGAGCUCGUAGGCGGUUUGUCACGUCGGAUGUGAAAGCCCGGGGCUUAACCCCGGGUCUGCAUUCGAUACGGGCAGACUAGAGUGUGGUAGGGGAGAUCGGAAUUCCUGGUGUAGCGGUGGAAUGCGCAGAUAUCAGGAAGAACACCGGUGGCGAAGGCGGCUCUCUGGGCCUUACCUGACGCUGAGGAGCGAAAGCGUGGGUAGCGAACAGG